GUUAUGUACGAAUAAACACCUACACGUCGGCUUGGUCGCCCAUUUUCGCAGUUUUCCUGGAAGAAAUAGGGUUAAGAAACAACUAUAGGUAGCUGUACUCUGCGACACGGGGGCUCGCGAGUCGCGACGAAAAAUCGCCAGUCAGCGCGUGAGUAUUAUGAGAGGCCGCUACUUAAGUAGCCGGUGAGCACAACUCGGCCACGUAAAAAAAACACGCGAACGAGCAGCGAGCGCACGAGGAAUCGGACUAGCAGUGCUUGGCAAUUGGCAU